GACAGAGGGGGCAAGCGUUGCUCGGAAUCACUGGGCGUAAAGAGCUCGUAGGCGGUUUGUCGCGUCUGCUGUGAAAACCUAAGGCUCAACCUUGGGCUUGCAGUGGGUACGGGCAGACUAGAGUGCGGUAGGGGUGACUGGAAUUCCUGGUGUAGCGGUGGAAUGCGCAGAUAUCAGGAGGAACACCGAUGGCGAAGGCAGGUCACUGGGCCGCAACUGACGCUGAGGAGCGAAAGCAUGGGGAGCGAACAGG
rnacentral:rRNA from 1 species